GCUUCCCCAGGCACUCUCCCGGCGGCGGCAGCUGCGCCGCCAAAGCCCCGGGCCCCAGCGGCCCCCCACCCCUCACUCGCGCGCUCCCACACUGCCUCCCCCUCCCCGGGGGAAGGCCUUUUAAUUUAUUUAUUUUUCUGGGACUGGGGUGGGGGUCUUGGCUGGCGGGGGAGGGGGUCUCCCCGGGCUCUACCUCCCGCGGCCGGGACUACCCUCAGAGCCGCGACCGCCGCGGCGUGCGUCCCGGGCCUGCAAAACUGUUUCCAAACUGCCCGGGCCGGAGGCGGGCGCGCGGGGCCCGGGGAGAUGGCUGGGGUCUGGGGGGCCGAGGGUGUGUGUGGACGCUGGGAGCCGCGGGGGGAGGCCGGCGUCGACUCAGAGGAGUUGCAAUCGAGGUCCGGGAGUGGCGGCGGCCAAUCAGCGCGCGGCUUCCAUUUUAGCAGUAAACAGUCCUCAGCGAAGCCGCCUUUUUGCCUACCCAACCCUGGAAAGUUUGCAGAAGUGGAAGGAGCAGAACGUGAGGGUGUAACUUACAAAAAGGUUCUGGGCCGGAGAAGGGGCGACGUUCGGGCACCCCCCGAAUGGACAAUCUUUCCUUCUGUCAACGGCAGGGGCAGGCCUAGUUUGACUCUGACAGUCCUCCCACUA
rnacentral:lncRNA from 1 species